rnacentral:sRNA from 2 species
CCCAGAGGUAUUGAUUGGUGAGAUUUCAGUACAUUUGUUACUGAAGCCAAUAAAUUACACCGACCUACGCGGAUGCGUAGGUUUUUUUU